rnacentral:misc_RNA from 1 species
CUCUCUCUCUCCUUUCUUCUUCUCGAUUUCGUCCUUCUCUAUUCUGUUUAUUCAUUUACUUCUCCUCUUUCCUCCUCUAAUUUUGGUGUUAUGGUGUCUUGAGAAUUCUGCUACAUAACAAAUUGGUAUCGGAGCAAUUAGAUCAGUGAGCAACUGCUGGAAAUUGUUUCAUGGGAGUUGCAUUGAUGGCAGAUUACUCUUCCCAAAUAACAGUUUUCUUGGGAGCAAAACACAAUCAGAUCAUCAUAACAUGGAAAUAGAACCUUGGCAACAAGAGAAAUUGAUGGGCAUUUUUUGAAAGGAUGGCGAGAUGGAUGCAAAUCCUAGAGGAGUUGUGUCAAAGAUUGGAUCAGAUUGUUAGAAAUGGGGAAAAUUUGAGAAGCAUCAUGUCAAUAAACAUAUCAGUGAUGAAGAUCAACUUCUUGGAAA